GCUGCGGCGGUAUAAUGGUUAAUACAUUGCGCCUCAUGGUGCAACUGUCCAGGUUCGAGUCCUGGUUGUGGCU